rnacentral:rRNA from 1 species
GACAGAGGAUGCAAGCGUUAUCCGGAAUUAUUGGGCGUAAAGAGCUCGUAGGCGGUCUGUUGCGUCGGCUGUGAAAACCCGGGGCUCAACUCCGGGCCUGCAGCCGAUACGGGCAGACUAGAGUUCGGCAGGGGAGACUGGAAUUCCUGGUGUAGCGGUGAAAUGCGCAGAUAUCAGGAGGAACACCGGUGGCGAAGGCGGGUCUCUGGGCCGAUACUGACGCUGAGGAGCGAAAGCGUGGGGAGCGAACAGG